rnacentral:misc_RNA from 1 species
UUAGAAUUUUGCCUGGUUAGAAUUAGAAUGUUCACACCAUGGUGAUUUGCAAAUAAAUAAUAUUAUGUCAUGAAAUUCUACAUAUAAUCUACUUCUGUCCAAUGGUCUAGAAAGAAUUUUCAUGCCAAUUUGAAAUCAUAUGUAGCACCCAUGAAAUUACUCCCUGUAAGGAAGAUUGCUCUUGAAAAACACACAAGUAGACUUCCGUAAGAGUAUGGUCUCUUAUUUUGUUGGUUAUUUNNNNNNNNNNNNNGUAUAGCAGUAAAAACCCUUGUCAUCUCUGAAACAGGAUCCUUGUCAACACCUGAUUUCACACACCAAGCAAUGUGCUCAUCUGGCCUCACUAAAAUUGCUCCUUUGUCAGUCAUCUGACAAAUACUCCACCAUGAUGAUGGAUUUGAUGGUUUCCUAACCUCCACAACAUCUAUAUAGUUUUUCCAUGGUGUCAAUGCUUUCUUACUCCUUGCUUCAAAUUCAUCAAGAGAGU